UCUCUCCAAGAUGGCCGCCGGUCAGUCGAUCAGCAGUGAUCUGAUUUAUGAGACCAGCUCGUCCUCAGCUGGACUUUGAGCUUUGAACAGGAAAAGGACGUCCUAAAAACAUCUCAGAGCUUGAAGUGGUCUGCAGGAAGAGUUGGUGAAAGGUCAUCAGGCUGCUGCAAAAAGUGGUCGCGGGCUGUGGUAUCCGCCGGAGCAGGGGUCCCUAACUACCGACUUGUGACCCGGAUCCCAGAUUACGGCAACAACAGCGUAACCGUGCCAACCAGUCGGAGCCUCAUCCCAGCGGUGAUACAACCUGCCUCCGUGGACAGCGCGUCGCUGGUUCUCAGGAAGUUACUGGAGAAGGCCGAACUGCAGCCGAGCCGCAUUGUUACUUUCUGCCUCCCAGCAUCGCUUGACCUUAAAUGUCGUCUGGGCGCGUUGAUCUCUGGCCGUCCGACCCCUCCUCUGAUUGGCUCCCCAGCUGCGGCCUCAGCGGGUCGGGGGUCGAUCUUAACAGAGUUCAGAAGAGCAAAAGUUGGGACCACAGAUGAAGCAGUAUCAGUGUUGAGUUUGAGAGAACUGAACACUUGUCC